ensembl:lncRNA
GAGAAACAGGGGCUUAUUUAAUCGUGCUACUGGCCCACAGUUGAGGUAGACACCUGGUCCAAGCUUGAUUAACCCAAUGCCUACUCACAGAAACUUGAAAUGUUAAUAAAGAAUUUCCAGUGACUUUUGGCAGUGGAGCUGGAAUGCAUGGAGAACUGGAGCUACAGAGAACCAGAAAGAGGCAGUCUGUAGGCAGAGAGAUAGCCCAAUCUUCAGGACAGAUUGUGAAUGAUCAGAAACCUAAAAAGAGUACAUCAUGUGAAAUGCCAGGCUGGAUGAAGCACAAGCUGGAAUCAAGAUUGCUGGAGAAAAAUAUCAAUAGUCUCAGAUAUGUGGAUGACACCACCCUUCUGGCAGGCAGAAAGCAAAGAGGAACUAAAGAGCCUCUUGAUGAAAGUGAAAUAAGAAAUUUAAAAAGCUGGCUUAAAAAUCAACAUUCAGAAAACUAAGAUUAUGGCAUCUAGUCCCAUCACUUCAUGGGAAAUAGAUAGGGAAACAAUGAAAACAUUGACAGACUUUAUUUUAUUGGGCUCCAAAAUCACUGCGGAUGGUGUCUGCAGCCAUGAAAUUAAAAGACUCUUGCUUCUUGGAAAAAAAAAAGCUAUGACAAACCUAGACAGUGUAUUAAAAAGCAGAGAUAUUACU